rnacentral:rRNA from 1 species
AGAGUUUGAUCAUGGCUCAGGACGAACGCUGGCGGCGUGCUUAACACAUGCAAGUCGAGCGGAAAGGCCCUUCGGGGUACUCGAGCGGCGAACGGGUGAGUAACACGUGAGUAACCUGCCCUGGACUUUGGGAUAACCCUCGGAAACGGGGGCUAAUACCGAAUACGACUGCUGGCCGCAUGGUUGGUGGUGGAAAGUUUUUCGGUCUGGGAUGGGCUCGCGGCCUAUCAGCUUGUUGGUGGGGUGAUGGCCUACCAAGGCGACGACGGGUAGCCGGCCUGAGAGGGCGACCGGCCACACUGGGACUGAGACACGGCCCAGACUCCUACGGGAGGCAGCAGUGGGGAAUAUUGCACAAUGGGCGGAAGCCUGAUGCAGCGACGCCGCGUGAGGGAUGACGGCCUUCGGGUUGUAAACCUCUUUCAGCAGGGACGAAGCGGCUGAGUUUUCUCAACCAUGACGGUACCUGCAGAAGAAGCGCCGGCCAACUACCUUGCCAGCAGCCGCGGUA